GUCACAAUCACGCCGGGGUGGUCCUGGGGCGAGGCCCAAGUUCCCUGCACGCGUCGGCACAAGCACGCACACUGUGACGGGGAGGACGUUUACGUACCAUGUCCACACCACUCCAGACUUGGAGAAGCAUUAGGGUGUCCGACUACGUGGGUUUCAUAGCUGUGGAAAAGCCAAAGGGGAGACUCCUGAAGAAAGGCGGUGAAGACUGUGAAGAGCGGGUCAGGAAGAUGAGCACAGCACUGCUACUCCUGUGGGCACAGGGACAGCAUGUCUCCAGCCAGCGCCACCUUGUUUAAUACAUGGGAACUCACUGAAAUUCAUUCUGUAUUUUGCCCGCAAAGUUUUAAAGCUUUCAUCCACAGUCAGGAAUUAAACUUAUACCAAUGAGAGCCUCACACAUUCAAGGAUGUACUAAGCACUACAGGCCUCACAGAAACAGAGAUCCCAUCUUGGAGUUUUCAGUACCACAUGGGAGAUAAAGGGUUUUGAACAUGAAAUGACAAAAACAACAGCAAGAAGAAAAUUCUUGUCCUUUUUCAUUACUAUCAGACUCAAAUAAAUGUCUUGGCUCUUACAUUACAUUCAUUCUUCAACCAUUGUGGUCUGGCUUCCACUUCCUUCACUUCACCAACAUGGCUCUGCCAAAGGAAGCCCGUGAUCUCUAGGCCAUCACUUUAAUUGAUCUUUCUACAACAUUUAUCCUGGUUGUUAAGCCCUCCUUACAACAUUCUUCUCUCUUUGUUUUUAUAGCUCCAUCUCUCCUGCUUCUUUAACUUGAUAAUGCA
rnacentral:lncRNA from 1 species